GUUCUCAACAACGAGCGGUUACGAUCGGUUGAAAUUACUAAGCGUAUCGGUAUUCCAGUAGUACCAAAAAGUUCACCGUUUUAUAUUAUUAUGGCAUGGUAAGUCAAAAGCAAAAUACUAUAGAACACAUAUGAUAAAUAAUUAUUUGAUGUCAAUAGUAAAAUGUAAAUCGAAAGAAGUUUGCUUUCACUCUUUAGAUUCCAAUCAUGGUUGGCG
rnacentral:lncRNA from 1 species